UGAAGAAUUUAUCCAACGGCGGGGGAUAGCCGGCCCAACGGCCGGGUAAUACCGCGUACGACCUUCGGGGGGCGAUCCCCUGAUGGUGAAAGCCGCAAGGCGCCGAUGGAGAACUUCGCGGCCUAUCAGCUAGUUGGUGAGGUCAUGGCUCACCAAGGCGACGACGGGUAGCUGGUCCGAGAGGAUGACCAGCCACAUUGGGACUGAGACACGGCCCAGACUCCUACGGGGAGGCAG
rnacentral:rRNA from 1 species